CAGCCGCCACGGGAAUAGGAAGGGGGCUAGCGUUGCUCGGAAUCACUGGGCGUAAAGGGUGCGUAGGCGGGUCUUUAAGUCAGGGGUGAAAUCCUGGAGCUCAACUCCAGAACUGCCUUUGAUACUGAAGAUCUUGAGUUCGGGAGAGGUGAGUGGAACUGCGAGUGUAGAGGUGAAAUUCGUAGAUAUUCGCAAGAACACCAGUGGCGAAGGCGGCUCACUGGCCCGAUACUGACGCUGAGGCACGAAAGCGUGGGGAGCAAACAGGAUUAGAUACCCGCGUAGUCCCUGUCUCUUAUAC
rnacentral:rRNA from 1 species